rnacentral:rRNA from 1 species
UGAGGAAUAUUGGGCAAUGGGCUAACGCCUGACCCAGCAACGCCGCGUGGAGGAUGAAGGUUUUUGGAUUGUAAACUCCUUUUGUGGGGGAAGAGUGAGGACGGUACCCCAAGAAUAAGUCACGGCUAACUACGUGCCAGCAGCCGCGGUAAUACGUAGGUGACGAGCGUUAUCCGGAAUUAUUGGGCGUAAAGCGCCCGCAGGCGGCUGUUCAAGUCUGACGUGAAAUCGCUCGGCUUAACUGGGCGGGGUCGUUGGAAACUGAAUAGCUUGAGGCAAGGAGAGGGGCGUGGAAUUCCCGGUGUAGUGGUGGAAUGCGUAGAUAUCGGGAGGAACAUCAGUGGCGCAAGCGGCGCCCUGGCCUUAGCCUGACGCUCAGGGGCGAAAGCGUGGGGAGCGAACGGG